rnacentral:rRNA from 1 species
CACGUAGGGUGCAAGCGUUGUCCGGAAUUAUUGGGCGUAAAGGGCUCGUAGGCGGUCCGUCACGUCGGGAGUGAAAACUCGGGGCUCAACCCCGAGCCUGCUUUCGAUACGGGCGGACUAGAGGUAGGUAGGGGAGAACGGAAUUCCAGGUGUAGCGGUGAAAUGCGUAGAUAUCUGGAGGAAUACCGGUGGCGAAGGCGGCAUCCUGGACCGGCAUUGACGCUGAUGAGCGAAAGCUAGGGGAGCAAACGGG